AUUGAACGCUGGCGGCAGGCUUAACACAUGCAAGUCGAGCGGGGGAAGGUAGCUUGCUACCGGACCUAGCGGCGGACGGGUGAGUAAUGCUUAGGAAUCUGCCUAUUAGUGGGGGACAACAUCUCGAAAGGGAUGCUAACACCGCAUACGUCCUACGGGAGAAAGCAGGGGAUCUUCGGACCUUGCGCUAAUAGAGGAGCCUAAGUCGGAUUAGCUAGUUGGUGGGGUAAAGGCCUACCAAGGCGACGAUCUGUAGCGGGUCUGAGAGGAUGAUCCGCCACACUGGGACUGAGACACGGCCCAGACUCCUACGGGAGGCAGCAGUGGGGAAUAUUGGACAAUGGGGGGAACCCUGAUUCAGCCAUGCCGCGUGUGUGAAGAAGGCCUUAUGGUUGUAAAGCACUUUAAGCGAGGAGGAGGCUACUUUAGUUAAUACCUAGAGAUAGUGGACGUUACUCGCAGAAUAAGCACCGGCUAACUCUGUGCCAGCAGCCGCAGUAA
rnacentral:rRNA from 1 species